GAUGAACGCUGGCGGCGUGCCUAAUACAUGCAAGUCGAGCGAACGGACGAGAAGCUUGCUUUUCUGAUGUUAGAGGCGGACGGGUGAGUAACACGUGGAUAACCUACCUAUAAGACUGGGAUAACUUCGGGAAACCGGAGCUAAUACCGGAUAAUAUUUUGAACCGCAUGGUUCAAAAGUGAAAGACGGUCUUGCUGUCACUUAUAGAUGGAUCCGCGCUGCAUUAGCUAGUUGGUAAGGUAACGGCUUACCAAGGCAACGAUGCAUAGCCGACCUGAGAGGGUGAUCGGCCACACUGGAACUGAGACACGGUCCAGACUCCUACGGGAGGCAGCAGUAGGGAAUCUUCCGCAAUGGGCGAAAGCCUGACGGAGCAACGCCGCGUGAGUGAUGAAGGUCUUCGGAUCGUAAAACUCUGUUAUUAGGGAAGAACAUAUGUGUAAGUAACUGUGCACAUCUUGACGGUACCUAAGCAGAAAGCCACGGCUAACUACGU
rnacentral:rRNA from 1 species